UUACGGCCACAUCACAUUGAACCACCACUUCCUGUGCAAUCACCAAAGUUAAGCAAUGUCAAGCUUGGUCAGUACCUAGAUGGGUGACUGCUUGAAAAUACCAAGUGCUGUAAG